UUACUUAAAAAAAUUCGUGCUGAUUUUUCCCCAAAUUUUCCCGUAAAACACAAAAACAAAAAAAUCCCAAAUUUCCCCUAAAAUGGAGACACCAAAGAUGAUUCAUCUUCUUUGAUGAGAGUAGCAGUGUGAGGAAUGGGAAUUCAUCUUCUCAUUUGUUGAAACCUGAAUCCGGGGAGAUAUUGAAUUUUGGUGAGAGUAAGAGAAGUAGGAAUGGGAAUUUGGUCACAGGAAACUAUCCGUUCUUCAUGGACAACAAGAAGAGGUCGCCUAAUUCAAGAGGGAGCAACGAAGAAGCUAUGCUUUCGUUUACUUCAAGUGUAAUUUUACCUUCAUCUCGUGUGGUGAAAUCAAGUGGGAAGUGUAGGAAAAAAGUAGCUGAAAGUUUUGGGUUUUUCUUCGUUGAUUUUCUUUUUGUUUCACAUUUUCCUACUAACGAAACAAAAGCGCUUGAGAAGUUGUUAAAAGAUCAUGCUGGAAAAUAUGCGACUGGAGAUGAAGUUUCCAUGGCAAAUCUGUUUCUAGCACCACAGAUUCUGGCUGGGAUUGAACGAUUCAAUGUUGAAAUGGCAUGUAUUCUUGGCUUUUCUAUUUUCUCUUAUGCUUCUGAAAUUUUUGUGAGUUAGAGGGAGAAAUAUUACUUCAUAUAUCACCAUCCUCCUAAGAUUUUUCAAUGACACCAAAUAAAAUUUUUCAACUCUUGACUCAGGUUUCUUUUUUACUUGGACUUGUACACACACAUAUAUCACAUUAUGCAAAAGACACAUAUAUCACAAAAUUACUCUCUUUCUUAACUUUUUAUAUUAUAUAUAUAUGUUUUAUAAGAUUAGCUUUAACUCUCAUUUUCACUUUCACAUUGAGUUAUUUGAGCAUUUUCAUAUUUCUUUCUAAUGUGGGACAGAUUUCAUUUUCUUAAAAGAAAAAAUUAUAUUGUUUUUGUUGCCUUAAUCCUCUUUAUAUGCCUCUUUAACCUCAUUGGAUACAUAGUCUAUGUUGUCUUUUCUUUUCAGUUUUUCCAUUUUAGAUUUAUAGUUAAACUUCAAAGUGGUUCUACUUCAAGUUAAAACAGUGGGGUUUUUACAUUGAUCAUCUUAAGUUUUCAGAAAAUAUUUUUCCUGUUGAUUUGGAUUUUUUAAGGUUAUUUUUGUUUUUCCUUCCUAAAAUGCUUUUUUUUGGAUGAUUUAAUGAAUAUGGCAGGAUUAAGCUUUAGAAAUCCAUGAUUAACUGAGGACUUUAUAUUGGGUCCUCAGUUUAGUUGUUUAAAAUCUAUAUAUUUUUUUUAUAAUAUGCUAUGUUAUUCAGACUUGGAUAUGUCCUUGGAGGAUCAUAUGUGCUGGACACGGGUGCUUUAAAUAAGAUGAAGAGUGCUUGCUGUCAGCUAGGAGUUUUGAUGAUUAUGAUCAUGAUUGUUUCAUAUAUAUAUAUAUAUAUAUAUAUUCACCUAUAGUAACAUUAAUUUUAUAAAGAUAUUUUCUUCAAUUCUGAAACUGCUUUAAUAUCUCUUAUUAUCUUAAAAGUUCUAUUUAGCUUGGUAAACUUAAUUUUGCAGCUGCUACUGGAUUUUUUGAGCUUCUUUGCUUUUAGCUUUUCAUCUAUGGCCAGAUACUCAGUUGUGACUGAUAAGGUCUCAAUGGAGGUUGUUGAAGAAUUCAUUCUAGAAUAGUUGAAUCUGACAAAAGGCACAAUAUUUGAAAUUAAGCACAUUCAUUUGACAGGAUAAUUUGGAAACCCUGUUGCAAGAGGACAUUCAGGCUGAUCUAGUCUGUUGCUUGCAGCAUUUGCAGUUAAGAUUUGAAACUGAAGACAAAGCAAGGAGACUUCUUAAGUAAUGUGUCAUUUUUGUUAAAACCAGGGGGUUAUUUUUUCGGUAUUACUCCUGAAAAAGUGAUUGCCAAAAACUAUUGUUUCUGGAUUUGUGUAUUUUCCUUCUUCUUUUUUUCUUGUGGUUACUGCUAUACCUAUUUCUGGGAGGUGAUUGUGUAAACAUUUUAGUGUGCUUUAGUUAUUGUAAGAAUAUUUUUAACAUUGUUAAUUUUAAUAUUAUUGUAGGAAUAGUUUGAAUUAUAAUUCAGUUAUCAAUUUAUAUCAUA